UGACAUAUGUCAGGAAGAGAGAGAAUUUGAUCUCAUCCAAUUCUUUUCAUGAAUUUAUCUCUCCAUUUCGACCCAUCUAAUGAUGAAAGAGGUCCCUGAUGUUGCCAAGUGUCCCAUGACACCAUUAAAUAAAUUAAAUUAAUUUUUAAUCAUAUUAAAAAUCAAUUUAUGGCGCCAUGCAUGGAUAUGUGACAAGUGGAUUUCAAGAUCCGAACAGUUUCAGAUCAAACACAUUUAAUUUAAUUAAAUACUAACAAUUAGAAUGAUCCAAUUAUCAUGGGUUGAACCUAAUCCAAUUAGGUCAAUCCCUAAUUAAGCACAAAUUUAAUCUAAUUUAAUUUGGUCAACCUAAGUCCUCUUGAUUCAGACCUAAUCCAAUCAAGUCAAAAACCCUGAUUGAGCCCAGAAUUGAAUCUAAUUCAAUUUGGCUCAUCCUUAGUCUAAUUACUCAAUCCAAUUGAGUUCAUUAGCAAUCUCAUUACUAGUUAAUCCUCCGAUAAUUACUUUAAUUAUUUUAUAAGAUAAUUUGCCAAUCGAAUUGACCAAAUUAUCCCUAAAUGAUUCUUAAUC
rnacentral:lncRNA from 1 species